rnacentral:rRNA from 1 species
GACGAACGCUGGCGGCGUGCCUAAUACAUGCAAGUCGAGCGAAUGGAAGGGAGCUUGCUCCCUGAAGUUAGCGGCGGACGGGUGAGUAACACGUGGGCAACCUGCCUGUAAGACUGGAAUAACUUCGGGAAACCGGAGCUAAUACCGGAUACGUUCUUUCCUCGCAUGAGGAAAGAUGGAAAGAUGGUUUCGGCUAUCAGUUACAGAUGGGACCGCGGCGCAUUAGCUAGUUGGUGGGGUAAUGGCCCACCAAGGCGACGAUGCGUAGCCGACCUGAGAGGGUGAUCGGCCACACUGGGACUGAGACACGGCCCAGACUCCUACGGGAGGCAGCAGUAGGGAAUCUUCCGCAAUGGACGAAAGUCUGACGGAGCAACGCCGCGUGAGCGAAGAAGGCCUUCGGGUCGUAAAGCUCUGUUGUCAGGGAAGAACAAGUGCCAGAGUAACUGCUGGCACCUUGACGGUACCUGACCAGAAAGCCACGGCUAACUACGUGCCAGCCGCCGCUGUAAUAC